GGGGGGGGGGCACAAUUAGGUUCAGCAACGCGCAUGUAACUCAUCUGGAGUUGCAGGCGUACAUGCUACGGACAUUGCUUACCAUCAGGCGGGCCGUAUGCUUGUUUGCCACUGACGUAAACCAAAUUAAAAUGGGACCAACUCGGAGGUAGCUCCUUUCAAACAAAAAAAGAAUUACUCAAAUCGGACUACGGAUGUCGGAGUAAUCGGUGAACGUACAUAGAAAAAAAAAUAGGCACAACCGAAUACA